rnacentral:rRNA from 1 species
CACGUAGGGUGCGAGCGUUGUCCGGAAUUAUUGGGCGUAAAGAGCUCGUAGGCGGUGUGUCGCGUCGGCCGUGAAAACCUGCAGCUUAACUGUGGGCUUGCGGUCGAUACGGGCAUCACUGGAGUUCGGCAGGGGAGACUGGAAUUCCUGGUGUAGCGGUGGAAUGUGUAGAUAUCAGGAAGAACAUCUGUGGCGAAGGCGGCUUGCUGGGCCAUCACUGACACUGAGGGACGAAAGCGUGGGGAGCAAACGGG